rnacentral:rRNA from 1 species
UACGAAGGGGGGCUAGCGUUGCUCGGAAUGACUGGGCGUAAAGGGCGCGUAGGCGGUGAACACAGUUAGGCGUGAAAUUCCCGGGCUCAACCUGGGGGCUGCGUUUAAUACAUGUUCGCUUGAGUUCGGAAGAGGGUCGUGGAAUUCCCAGUGUAGAGGUGAAAUUCGUAGAUAUUGGGAAGAACACCCGUGGCUAAGGCGGCUCACUGGACCAUUACUGACGCUGAGGCGCGAAAGCUAGGGGAGCAAACAGG